rnacentral:rRNA from 1 species
GGGGGCCCGCACAAGCGGUGGAGCAUGUGGUUUAAUUNGNNGCAACGNGAAGAACCUUACCUACUCUUGACAUCCAGAGAAUCUAGCGGAGACGCUGGAGUGCCUUCGGGAGCUCUGAGACAGGUGCUGCAUGGCNGUCNUCAGCUCGUGUUGUGAAAUGUUGGGUUAAGUCCCGCAACGAGCGCAACCCUUAUCCUUGUUUGCCAGCACGUAAUGGUGGGAACUCCAUGGAGGCUGCCGGUGAUAAACCGGAGGAAGGUGGGGACGACNUCAAGUCAUCAUGGCCCUUACGAGUAGGGCUACACACGUGCUACAAUGGCGUAUACAGAGGGCAGCGAUACCGCGAGGUGGAGCGAAUCUCACAAAGUACGUCGUAGUCCGGAUUGGAGUCUGCAACUNGACUCCAUGAAGUCGGAAUCGCUAGUAAUCGCAAAUCAGAANGNNGCGGUGAAUACGUUCCCGCGCCUUGUACACACCGCCCGUCAUCUUGCUGAAAA